rnacentral:rRNA from 1 species
UACGUAGGGAGCGAGCGUUGUCCGGAUUCAUUGGGCGUAAAGAGCUCGUAGGCGGCUUGGCAAGUCGGGUGUGAAAACUCCAGGCUCAACCUGGAGACGCCACCCGAUACUGCCAUGGCUAGAGUCCGGUAGGGGACCACGGAAUUCCUGGUGUAGCGGUGAAAUGCGCAGAUAUCAGGAGGAACACCGGUGGCGAAGGCGGUGGUCUGGGCUGGAACUGACGCUCAGGCGCGACAGCGUGGGGAUCAAACAGG